rnacentral:sRNA from 1 species
UAGGUCUUUAUGGCCCAACCUCCCACCCGUGACUAUUGUACCUUGUUGCUUCGGCGGGCCCGCCAGCGUUGCUGGCCGCCGGGGGGCGACUCGCCCCCGGGCCCGUGCCCGCCGGAGACCCCAACAUGAACCCUGUUCUGAAAGCUUGCAGUCUGAGUGUGAUUCUUUGCAAUCAGUUAAAACUUUCAACAAUGGAUCUCUUGGUUCCGGCAUCGAUGAAGAACGCAGCGAAAUGCGAUAACUAAUGUGAAUUGCAGAAUUCAGUGAAUCAUCGAGUCUUUGAACGCACACUGCGCCCCCUGGUAUUCCGGGGGGCAUGCCUGGCCGAGCGUCAUUGCUGCCCUCAAGCCCGGCUUGUGUGUUGGGCCCUCGUCCCCCGGCUCCCGGGGGACGGGCCCGAAAGGCAGCGGCGGCACCGCGUCCGGUCCUCGAGCGUAUGGGGCUUCGUCUUCCGCUCCGUAGGCUCGGCCGGCGCCCGCCGAC